rnacentral:snRNA from 1 species
GGAUGUGAGGGCAAUCUGAUCCACAUUGAUCACCAGGGUUGAUUGGGCCGAUGUGGCCGGCUGGAUGGUGCCCCCUUCCAUGCUCAGUGAGAAGGACACCUGCCAUGAUAGGGGAGGGCUGUUUCUCUGAUAAGGGUAUACAGGCAGCUGUGGUCCCGUCCCAGAACCUCCAGACAAGCUCUCAAGGACCAAUUGUAGGAGAAGGGAGGCUAGUCAAGCUUCCGUGACUCCAGACACAUCCACACGAGGCUCCGCUUUUCUU